rnacentral:misc_RNA from 1 species
GAUGAAGAACGUAGCGAAAUGCGAUAAGUAGUGUGAAUUGCAGAAUUCAGUGAAUCAUCGAAUCUUUGAACGCACAUUGCGCCCCAUGGUAUUCCGUGGGGCAUGCCUGUUCGAGCGUCAUUUACCCCCUCAAGCUCCGCUUGGUGUUGGGCGUCUGUCCCGCUUCGCGCGCGGACUCGCCCCAAAGGUAUUGGCAGCGGUCGUGCCAGCUUCUCGCGCAGCACAUUGCGCUUCUCGAGGCACCGGUGGGCCCGCGUCCAUCAAGCUCACCCCCCCAGUUUGACCUCGGAUCAGGUAGGGAUACCCGCUGAACUUAAGCAUAUCAAUAAGCAGAGGA